AACGAACGCUGGCGGCAGGCUUAACACAUGCAAGUCGAGCGCCCCGCAAGGGGAGCGGCAGACGGGUGAGUAACGCGUGGGAAUCUACCCAUCUCUACGGAAUAACGCAUGGAAACGUGUGCUAAUACCGUAUACGUCCUUCGGGAGAAAGAUUUAUCGGAGAUGGAUGAGCCCGCGUUGGAUUAGGUAGUUGGUGGGGUAAAGGCCUACCAAGGCGACGAUCCAUAGCUGGUCUGAGAGGAUGAUCAGCCACACUGGGACUGGGACACGGCCCAGACUCCUACGUGAGGCAGCAGUGGGGAAUCUUGGACAAUGGGCGCAAGCCUGAUCCAGCCAUGCCGCGUGAGUGAUGAUGGCCCUAGGGUUGUAAAGCUCUUUCACCGGUGAAGAUCAUGACGGUAACCGGAGAAGAAGCCCCGGCUAACUUCGUGCCAGCCGCCGCGGUAAUAC
rnacentral:rRNA from 1 species